rnacentral:rRNA from 1 species
AUUGUAGUCAUAUGCUUGUCUCAAAGAUUAAGCCAUGCAUGUCUAAGUAUAAGCAAUUAUACCGCGAAACUGCGAAUGGCUCAUUAUAUAAGUUAUAGUUUAUUUGAUAGCACCUUACUACAUGGAUAACUGUGGUAAUUCUAGAGCUAAAACAUGCUAAAAAUCCCGACUUCGGAAGGGAUGUGUUUAUUAGAUUAAAAACCAAUGCCCUUCGGGGCUGCUUGGUGAUUCAUAAUAACCUCUCGAAUCGCACGGCCUUGCGCCGGCGAUGGUUCAUUCAAAUUUCUUCCCUAUCAACUUUCGAUGCGAAGGUAUUGUCUUCGCAUGGUUACAACGGGUAACGGAGGGUUAGGGCUCGACCCCGGAGAAGGAGCCUGAGAAACGGCUACUACAUCCAAGGAAGGCAGCAGGCGCGCAAAUUACCCAAUCCCGACACGGGGAGGUAGUGACAAUAAAUACUGAUACAGGGCUCUUUUGGGUCUUGUAAUUGGAAUGAGUACAAUUUAAAUCCCUUAACGAGGAACAAUUGGAGGGCAAGUCUGGUGCCAGCAGCCGCGGUAAUUCCAGCUCCAAUAGCGUAUAUUAAAGUUGUUGUGGUUAAAAAGCUCGUAGUUGAACCUUGGGCCUGGCUGGCCGGUCCCCCUCACCGGGUGCACUGGUCCGGCCGGGCCUUUCCCUCUGUGGAACCGCAUGCCCUUCACUGGGUGUGCCGGGGAAACAGGACUUUUACUUUGAAAAAAUUAGAGUGCUCCAGGCAGGCCUAUGCUCGAAUACAUUAGCAUGGAAUAAUAGAAUAGGACGUGUGGUUCUAUUUUGUUGGUUUCUAGGACCGCCGUAAUGAUUAAUAGGGACAGUCGGGGGCAUCAGUAUUCAAUUGUCAGAGGUGAAAUUCUUGGAUCUAUUGAAGACUAACUACUGCGAAAGCAUUUGCCAAGGAUGUUUUCAUUGAUAAGGAACGAAAGUUAGGGGAUCGAAGACGAUCAGAUACCGUCGUAGUCUUAACUAUAAACUAUGCCGACUAGGGAUCGGACGGUGUUUAUACUUGACCCGUUCGGCACCUUUCGAGAAAUCAAAGUGCUUGGGCUCCAGGGGGAGUAUGGUCGCAAGGCUGAAACUUAAAGAAAUUGACGGAAGGGCACCACCAGGGGUGGAGCCUGCGGCUUAAUUUGACUCAACACGGGGAAACUCACCAGGUCCAGACACAAUGAAGAUUGACAGAUUGAGAGCUCUUUCUUGAUUUUGUGGGUGGUGGUGCAUGGCCGUUCUUAGUUGGUGGAGUGAUUUGUCAGCUUAAUUGCGAUAACGAACGAGACCUUCUUCUGCUAAAUAGCCCGAACUGCUUUGGCAGUCCGCCGGCUUCUU